GGAGAAGCAGGCUCCAUGCACCGGGAGCCCGACGUGGGACUCGAUCCCGGGUCUCCAGGAUCACGCCCUGGGCCAAAGGCAGGCGCCAAACCGCUGCGCCACCCAGGGAUCCCUGAUUGAUUCUUUUUUAAAAUUUUCUAUCUCUUUGUUGAAGUUCACAUUGAGUUAUUUCACUCCUUUCCAGUCUGUGGCUGUCUCAUGCAGGCGCACAAACAAGUCUGUCACCUCCAUACUUGUCCAACCUGGGCAACCAGACUAUGGAGCCAAACUAGGGAUAUAAUAUAUGAAAAAGCACAAACAGGGGGAAGAGAAAGAGGAAGAAGCAGGCUCCCCACUGAACAGAGAGUCGGACCCAGGCUCAAUCCCAGGAUCCUGGGACCACAACCUGGACUGAAGGCAGACACUUCACUGACUGAGCCACCCAGGGACACUGCCAGCAAUUCAGAAACGAGGAGCCGCUAAGAUGUCACGGACGUGAGGACGAUAGCUAAUACUGCCAUGUGACAUAGAAGUUGGUAAGUGGAUCUUAGGAGUUCUCAUCACAAGGAGAAACUUUCUUUUUAUUCUAUGUAAGAAAAUCUUAACUGAGCCUACAGUGGUAAUCAUUUCACAAUAUAUAAAAAUCAAACCAUGAUGCUGUAAGGCCUUACACUUAUACUGUGAUGCAUGUCAAUUAUCCAUCAACAAAACUGGAAAGAAAUCCAAAAACAGGAGCUGGCAGGUAUACUGGAGCAUGUGUCCUCCCAUUUGACCAAAAAGCUGCAGACCUAGGGCUAACACAUGGUUCUGGAAACUUCAGACUCUAUAGUUCCUAACAGUAUCUGAUAGGGCUAGCUCUCCAUUUCUCUUUAGAAUAUCCAUGAUAUCCAUGUUAUUUUCAUUUGGUCAUUCUUCCAGGUGAAUGUUAAAAUAACUUCCAAAGUAAAAAUAAAUAAUAAAAAAUUAAAAAAAUAAAAGACCCCGUUUAGCUAUUCAUUAGAACUACAUAAAAUUUAAGAGAGAAAACUUCUGGAUAAUAUCCAUGCUAAGAUGUUUCCUCUAAUCAAGUAGAUCAGGGUUCUGAUAGGUUGUUCUCCUCUGUCCAGUUUGCUCUUUUUUUGGGCAGCAGGGAGAGCAAAAUUCAUUUCUUCAUUUGCAUGAGGAAGAAAUUUCCGAUUUUUGUGGGGUUUUUUUUUGUUUGUUUUAAGAUUUUAUUUACCAAAGAGGUGGUGAAAAUAAGCACAGGUAGAAUGAAUGAAUGGAGAGACUGGCAGACAUGCCCUUUGCGGGGUAGAGCCACCAUGACUCCAGAAAGUUUAUGGAAGCCUCAAGGGAAACAUAGAGGACAUUAAUGUUAUGCUGACAGCUCCCUUGUCCCAGGCCCUUGUUAGGCAUGAUCAACAUGAUCUCAAAGUGGACAAAAAAGAUGGGGGUUCUGGGGUGCUCACUGUAUGGAAGCAGGCUGAAGAACCAGAUGUCCUAGCUCUCACUCCUGUAACCUAGACUUACUUAGCCCUAAAGAGGGAGCCCAUGAUGAUGUAUAACAAAUAGCUGCCCAUAAAGGACUAGUAGGCAAUUGCAUACUCUAGUCAUUGUCUAAGAUGCAGCACUGCCUUAUGAACCAAUAAGAGAAAAAACAGUCAUCGAUUAUGAGGUGUAACCCAUUGCAGAGACGUCAAAUGUGAAAGAAUGCACAGAUAAAAUAAUGUAGUCUUUUCAAGUAUACCAUAAGAAACUGAAUAUUUUAAGAUUGUGAGGUUCUACCCACAUCAAAAUUUAAAAGCAAAGUAAAGCAAAA